rnacentral:rRNA from 1 species
AGAGUUUGAUCCUGGCUCAGGAUGAACGCUAGCUACAGGCUUAACACAUGCAAGUCGAGGGGAAACGAUAUUGGAAGCUUGCUUCCGAUUAGGCGUCGACCGGCGCACGGGUGAGUAACGCGUAUCCAACCUGCCCACCACUUGGGGAUAACCUUGCGAAAGUAAGACUAAUACCCAAUGAUAUCUCUAGAAGACAUCUGAAAGAGAUUAAAGAUUUAUCGGUGAUGGAUGGGGAUGCGUCUGAUUAGCUUGUUGGCGGGGUAACGGCCCGACCAAGGCGACGAUCAGUAGGGGUUCUGGAGAGGAAGGUCCCCCACACUUGGAACUGAGACACGGUCCAAACUCCUACGGGAGGCA